rnacentral:rRNA from 1 species
UACGAAGGGGGCUAGCGUUGCUCGGAAUUACUGGGCGUAAAGGGCGCGUAGGCGGCACUGUUAGUCAGGCGUGAAAUUCCUGGGCUCAACCUGGGGACUGCGCUUGAUACGGCAGAGCUAGAGGAUGGAAGAGGGUCGCGAAAUUCCCAGUGUAGAGGUGAAAUUCGUAGAUAUUGGGAAGAACACCGGUGGCGAAGGCGGCGACCUGGUCCAUUACUGACGCUGAGGCGCGACAGCGUGGGGAGCGAACCGG